rnacentral:rRNA from 1 species
AUAGCCGAAUCCUGCGCCUCGCGGCGUGGGAAAUGUGGCGUAUGGGAGGCGGAGUCCUCCGAGUGCGACCGGCGGUACAAGUCCCCAUGAGAGGGGCAUGUUACCCGGAGCGGGUGCUAGGCCCGUACCGCCGCCGGUCCGCGCGCGGAGUUGCCGUUCUCCCGGGAGUCGGGUUGCUUGGGAGUGCAGCCCUAAGUGGGUGGUAAACUCCACCUAAAGCUAAAUAAGACCGAGAGACCGAUAGCGAACAAGUACCGUGAGGGAAAGUUGAAAAGCACUUUGAAGAGAGAGUUCAAGAGUACGUGAAACCGUUCAGAGGUAAACGGGUGGGACCUCGAAGUCUGAAGGCGGUGGUGGAUUCAGCUGGGACCCCUUUCAUAGCCGAAUCCUGCGCCUCGCGGCGUGGGAAAUGUGGCGUAUGGGAGGCGGAGUCCUCCGAGUGCGACCGGCGGUACAAGUCCCCAUGAGAGGGGCAUGUUACCCGGAGCGGGUGCUAGGCCCGUACCGCCGCCGGUCCGCGCGCGGAGUUGCCGUUCUCCCGGGAGUCGGGUUGCUUGGGAGUGCAGCCCUAAGUGGGUGGUAAACUCCACCUAAAGCUAAAUAAGACCGAGAGACCGAUAGCGAACAAGUACCGUGAGGGAAAGUUGAAAAGCACUUUGAAGAGAGAGUUCAAGAGUACGUGAAACCGUUCAGAGGUAAACGGGUGGGACCUCGAAGUCUGAAGGCGGUGGUGGAUUCAGCUGGGACCCCUUUCCUACCUUUUAAACGUCACCCCACGACGGGGCCUUUUAAGAGGACUAGGACUAUGGUUCCGGCGCACUUCCACGCCCCGUCCUGUAGGACGUCGCGACCGGUUGGAAGGCCGUUGCAAGGGCGGACAUAAAAGGUGGCCGCAUUUCUCCCUCGGGGGUUCUGCGGUGUUACAGUUGUCCGUUCAGACUGGUCGUCCGACCGGGGUCGAGUUCAUCUCUAAGGCGCUCCCUUCCAGAGGGAAGCGGCUAACUGGUCGAGCACUUUACGGGACGGCGUGCCACCUUCCAAGGUGAGCGCCUCCCGCAGGGGGUUUCGAUCCAGACUAGCCGCGGGGAGCCGGAGGUCGCGGCGAGUAGGUCGGUUACCCACCCGACCCGUCUUGAAACACGGACCAAGGAGUCUAACGCGUGUGCGAGUUCCCGGGACUUGAAUAGGCCCGCGGGCGCAAUGAAAGUGAAGGGCGACUUAACGUCGUCUUAGUUGGGAUCCGUGCUUUUUAAGCGCGGCGCACCAACGGCCCGUCCGACGCCGGUUUCGGCGGGGCGGAGCUAGAGCAUACGCUCUGGGACCCGAAAGAUGGUGAACUAUG